GAUUAAACUUUCCUUCGGGAAGAUAUAAAGUGGCGCACGGGUGAGUAACACGUAGGUAAUGUACCUUUGGGUGGGGAAUAACUUAGGGAAACUUAAGCUAAUACCGCAUAAUGCAGCGGCUCCUUCGGGAGACAGUUGUUAAAGAUUUAUCGCCUAAAGAGCAGCCUGCGGCAGAUUAGCUAGUUGGUAAGGUAACGGCUUACCAAGGCUACGAUCUGUAUCCGACCUGAGAGGGUGGUCGGACACACUGACACUGAAUAACGGGUCAGACUCCUACGGGAGGCAGCAGUCGGGAAUUUUGGGCAAUGGGCGAAAGCCUGACCCAGCAACGCCGCGUGAAGGAUGAAGUCUUUCGGGAUGUAAACUUCGUAAGAAUAGGAAGAAUAAAUGACGGUACUAUUUGUAAGGUCCGGCUAACUACGUGCCAGCAGCCGCGGUAAUACGUAGGGACCAAGCGUUGUUCGGAUUUACUGGGCGUAAAGGGCGCGUAGGCGGCGUGACAAGUCAAUUGUGAAAUCUCCGGGCUUAACUCGGAACGGUCAAUUGAUACUGUUGUGCUAGAGUACAGAAGGGGCAAUCGGAAUUCUUGGUGUAGCGGUGAAAUGCGUAGAUAUCAAGAGGAACACCUGAGGUGAAGACGGGUUGCUGGGCUGAUACUGACGCUGAGGCGCGAAAGCUAGGGUAGCAAACGGGAUUAGA
rnacentral:rRNA from 1 species